UACGUAGGGUGCAAGCGUUGUCCGGAAUUAUUGGGCGUAAAGAGCUCGUAGGCGGUUUGUCGCGUUCUGCUGUGAAAACGCGAGGCUCAACCUCGCGCCUGCAGUGGGUACGGGCAGACUAGAGUGCGGUAGGGGAGAUUGGAAUCCUGGUGUAGCGGUGGAAUCGCAGAUAUCAGGAGGAACACCGAUGGCGAAGGCAGAUCUCUGGGACCGUAACUGACGCUGAGGAGCGAAAAGCGUGGGGAGCGAACAGG
rnacentral:rRNA from 1 species